AUUGAACGCUGGCGGAAUGCUUUACACAUGCAAGUCGAGCGGCAGCGCGGCCUUCGGGCUGGCGGCGAGUGGCGAACGGGUGAGUAAUGCAUCGGAACAUGCCCAGUCGUGGGGGAUAACACUUCGAAAGAAGUGCUAAUACCGCAUACGUCCUGAGGGGGAAAGCGGGGGAUCGCAAGACCUCGCGCGAUUGGAGUGGCCGAUGUCAGAUUAGCUAGUUGGUGGGGUAAAGGCCUACCAAGGCGACGAUCUGUAGCUGGUCUGAGAGGAUGAUCAGCCACACUGGGACUGAGACACGGCCCAGACUCCUACGGGAGGCAGCAGUGGGGAAUUUUGGACAAUGGGGGCAACCCUGAUCCAGCCAUUCCGCGUGAGUGAAGAAGGCCUUCGGGUUGUAAAGCUCUUUCGGCAGGAACGAAACGGUGGGCUCUAACAUAGUCCGCUAAUGACGGUACCUGAAGAAGAAGCACCGGCUAACUACGUG
rnacentral:rRNA from 1 species